ensembl:lncRNA
UGGGUUUGGAGAGCAGCUCUGACGCUCUCGUUCUCUCUCUGGGAUUCGGGACCCGGCGUCGCUGUGUGCCGUGCGGUACCCGGGGUGCGGGGAAGGGAGCUGAGCAGGGAAGUGUCAUUUGUACAAAUUGCCAGUUCGUGCCAGCUUGGGAGAGACCUCACAAGGGAAACCUGGAGCCUUCCCUGCUUUUCAUGUGAGCGGAUGCCCCUUUUAUUCCUGAGCAAGGAGUAAGUGGAGAAGAAAGGAGCCCCUGUCAGCCUCACGGAGACAAAUUGCUUCCUGCAGCAGAGGUGGCUCAGUGCUAACAACCACCCACUGCCAGAGAGUCUCUAACUGAUGGAUGAAGUUUCAGUGGGACUCAUGAAAUGAUGACAGCUG